rnacentral:rRNA from 1 species
CCUACGGGCGGCAGCAGUGAGGAAUAUUGGUCAAUGGACGAGAGUCUGAACCAGCCAAGUAGCGUGAAGGAUGACUGCCCUAUGGGUUGUAAACUUCUUUUAUAAAGGAAUAAAACGAGGCACGUGUGCCUUUUUGCAUGGACUUUAUGAAUAAGGAUCGGCUAACUCCGUGCCAGCAGCCGCGGUAAUACGGAGGAUCCGAGCGUUAGCCGGAGGUAUUGGGGUUACAGGGAGCGUAGAGGGGUUGUUAAGUCAGUUGUGAAAGUUUGCGGCUCAACCGUAAAAUUGCAUUUGUUACUGGCAGUCUUGAGUACAGUUGCGGUAGGCGGAAUUCGUGGUGUAGCG